UUUUAUUCUUUUUCUAUUUUCAUUUUAACGCCAAUUUGCAUAAAAAUUUUACUGCUUUUGCAAAAUUAGACCGUAUUUUUUUAUUUUACAAAUUCGGUCCGAAUUUUCAUUAAAUUGAUCAAAAUAUUUUUAUAUCUUUUUCUCUCUCCUUUUUUUUUCCUCGUGUUCUUUUUUUUUCUCGCCGAAGAAGUCGGUGGAGGCAGAAACGCCCCCCCGGCCUUUGCCCCUCACGCACGCCCCGCCCUCUUCGCCUUCGACACCGCCAAGGCCGCGCCGCGACCUUUUUUCUUUUCCCUCUCCGACCCUCCUCCACCCGCCAUCCCCACCGCUGCCACAGGCGACAAAAAGGAAGUGCUUCUCAGGGCCUAGAAGCACAUCGGCGAGAAAGAAGGAGAAAAAUAAUUAUACUCCGACGAAGGCAAUAGUUGAUAUAGAGGGCAAGGAAGAGAUCGUGACCAAAAAAAAAUUAUAAAAAAAAAAAUAAUAAAAAUAAUAAAAUUAAAAAAAUUACAGUAAAAAUCAAAAAUUAUAGAAAAAGUAAGAAAAAGAUUAAAUUGUACUAUUAAAAUAAAAUUACACUAUUUUAGAUGAAAGUUGCACUCUUUAAGAUAGAAAUUACACUCUUUGGAUGAGAGUUAUACUCUUUAAACGAAAGUUGCACUAUUUUUAUGAAAUUUAUAUCAUUUCUUAUUCUUUUCUUCUCCAUCCUCAUUCUUCCCCUUCGUUUUCUCGUCCGCCUCCUCCUUCUUCCUCCUCCACCUUCGUUGCUGUCGUCGCCGUCAAGCGCCCCUCGCGCCGUCGCCUCCCUUCUACCGACGCCAAACUCACUCCCUUUAAUUAUAAUAUUAAGAUAUUAUGUUUGUAGCACCUGAACAU
rnacentral:lncRNA from 1 species